AUACGGAGGGUGCAAGCGUUGUUCGGAAUUACUGGGCGUAAAGGGCGCGUAGGCGGUUGUGUUAGUCAGAUGUGAAAUACUUCAGCUCAACUGAAGAAAUGCAUUUGAUACUGCAUAACUAGAGUACAGGAGAGGGAAAUGGAAUUCCCGGUGUAGAGGUGAAAUUCGUAGAUAUCGGGAGGAACACCAGUGGCGAAGGCGAUUUCCUGGCCUGAUACUGACGCUGAGGCGCGAAAGCGUGGGGAGC
rnacentral:rRNA from 1 species